UAUCUAUCCGCCUUUAGAUCUCUGUGACUCGGAUCGUAGGUUAAGACUUAAGAUCAGGUUCGUAGACGUGGCACUCUCUGGGCCCCAUAUGAGAUCCCAGAUAUUUCCCCAACCAAGUUGGCGGGGAGAGAAGCAGAGACGACCGUAGGAUUCUUAGGCAGUUGGCGAUGGACUCGGUAUUUCCGCCGUCUGAUUUCACCAAAAACAUUUCGGGAUAUUUUGUAGGCUUUUUCUUGCUUUGACAGAAGAAGAUGAGAUUGCUCUUGUGAGUUUUGCUUUCCUGACAGACAUACAGACCGACAGAGAGCGAAGGAGAUGGGUGACGUGGUACUCAGUAGUGAUAAGGGGAAGUCAGAGAACGAGACAGAAAGUAGUAAGCAGAGGAAGAAGAGGGAAGAAGAGGAAGAGAAGGAUGCUGGUGGAUCGCCGGUGGUGAAGUGGGAAAGGUUGUUACCGAGGACGGUGAUGAGGGUUUUGCUGGUUGAAGCCGAUGACUCCACCAGGCAGAUAAUAGCUGCUCUCUUGAGGAAGUGUAGUUACAGAGUUGCUGCUAUUUCCGAUGGAUUAAAGGCAUGGGAGAUACUGAAGGGAAGGCCCCAUAAUAUUGACCUCAUACUGACGGAAGUGGAGUUGCCAUCAAUAUCUGGAUAUGCUCUUCUUACCUUAAUUAUGGAGCAUGAGAUUUGCAAAAAUAUUCCUGUUAUAAUGAUGUCCUCGCAGGACUCAAUCAACACUGUUUAUAAAUGCAUGCUGAGAGGUGCUGCUGACUAUCUUGUCAAACCUAUUCGGAGAAACGAACUGAGAAAUUUGUGGCAGCAUGUAUGGAGAAGACAACAUGCAACUGUUGACAGAAAUGGCGAAUUAGAGGAAAGUGUUGGACAGGAAAAGGUCGAGGCCAUUUCUGAUAAUGAUGCUGCUAGUAAUCAUUCGAGUGGUAACAUGGCUCGUGAUCAAAGGAAGGAGUACAUUGAGAAAGGGAGUGAUGCGCAGAGUUCUUGUACAAAGCCAGACUUAGAAGCAGAGAGUUCCCACAAGGAACAUAUGCAGGAUUUUUCGUUACCGAUGUGGGGCAAACUUUUACUGAACGACAUUAAAAUGCGGAAUGACAAAGCAAACACCCAAAUUGGACAGAAAUUUCCAAAGCAUGGCAGUGAAGCUGAGGGAUCAAUGGCUAUUGCGUGCAAGGAAGUUAACAUGGCUGUCGGCAAGGAUAUUGAACUCGAAAGUCAUAUGCAGGAUGCUAAUCUUGCUGGGGAGGCUGGUGACAAUGCUGAUGCUCUGGCCAACUCUUCCGGAGAAGCUAUCGAUUUCAUGGGAGCAUUUACAUGUUACAUUUCUUCUUCAAAUAAUGCCAAUGGGAAGUCUGAUUCUUCCCCUCAUUUGGAUUUAUUUUUGACAAGAUCCCAACCUAGUGGCCCAGAGAAUCAAAUUAAUGAAGAAAGACGUAUUCUCAGACAAUCUACUGCUUCAGCUUUUACACGGUAUGCUAGUCGGGCAUUGAAUUCCUCACAUUUAGAAUCGGCGAGUAGUCCUACGCAACAGGAAGGAAUGAGAACAAAUUCUGGGAAAAGGUCAUUCAAUAUUACUACUGGUUAUAACUCUGAUACUCUUAAUUUAAGCACCCAGAGGAGUAUCAUUUCUCCUGAUCUCACACUAUGCACUCGGAGAAAUUUUAUCUCUCUACCGACUUGUCAAUCUAAACAUUCUGAAAUUGGAACUUCAUGUCCCCAGCAAAUAUUGUUUCCUGUCCCAAUUCCAGUAAGAGGGGCAAGGCUUAAUAUUGCAUGCAGAUGUGGCUCUGCACUUUCUCCACUGUUCUGUUCAACUUCUGGUUCAUCACCAAUGGUGAGUCCAGGUUCAGCCAACCAGCAGGAACCAACUUGUCAGGGGAAUCCAUUUCAUAAUCCCAAUUUUGAAAAUAAUAGUACUGAACGACUUUGCAAUUCACUUGGUCAAACUGCAAACAACUACACCAGUCUGACAUUGCACAAGCAAGACCAGAAAUUGUAUUCUUUAGAAGAUCGAGGAUGUAUUUCUCCUGCUACAGAUCAUAUUGCAAGUAGCAAUUUCUGCAACGGCUCUUUAAGUCGUCUUAACAGCAUGGGAUAUCAAAUUGCCUGUGGAAGUAACAGCAAUGUUGAGCAAGUCGCUGUUACCAGGCCUGCUGUAGAGAGCAAGCUUGAAGAAGCAGAAACUUUUGCAAACAAUGAAAAAUCACCUCGGUCCAUCCAAAGAGAAGCAGCGCUUACCAAGUUCCGCUUGAAGCGGAAAGAUAGAUGCUUUGAAAAAAAGGUUCGGUAUGAGACUCGGAAAAAACUCGCCGAACAGCGACCCAGAGUGAAAGGGCAAUUUGUUCGACAAGCUCUUAGUGUAACUACACCAGCAGAAACAGAGAACCACCAUGACGAAUAAGGGAAGUGCUAGCUUCAUUCUCUCUCAGGGUUGAAGAUUUGAGAGCGCUAAGAUUCAGACCGUGUCGAAGGCUCGUUGUGUGAGCGACUUAAGGUUCUCCUAUGGAGUUGUCCUUUCAAUUGGAGGACGAAGUGGUCGCUAUGUUGGAGGCUCGCUACGGCGAGCGGCAAAGUCCUCCUGCGAUUGUCCUUUCAGCUGGAGGACAAGGUGACCGUCGCUACCAGGCCAUGUCAAAGAUCCGUUGGGUGAGUGGCUCGAGGUUCUCCCGAAGGCCCGGUCUUUCCGUUGGUGAGUGCAGAAUUCGUUUGGAAUUAACCGGCUUGGCUUUGGGCCUGGUGCUUGGGUUAGUGGGCUGUUGGGUUGAAUUUGGAUCUCAUACCAAAUUUAAUUUGGUCCCUACAAUAAUCACUAGCAAUAUAUUCCUUUGUUUUUCCAAACUUAUUUUUCAAAAGAUAAAAAAAAAAAAAAUGGUUUGCCU